AACGCAUCUUGCGCUCCUUGGUAUUCCGAGGGGCAUGCCUGUUUGAGUGUCAUUAAAUUAUCAAUCCUUUUUAUUUUUGAAAAGGCUUGGAUUGUGGGGGUUAAUGCAGGCUUUUAACAAGUCAGCUCCCCUUAAAUAGAUUAGUGGCUCCCUCUGCAUGCUGUUGGUGUGAUAAUUAUCUCUACCAUUAGAAUGCUUGCUUUGGUUGUGGCUGCUUCAAACAGUCUUGCUUUAAUAAGACAAUAUCUUUAUGACCAAAUCAGACCUCAAAUCAGGUAGGACUACCCGCUGAACUUAA
rnacentral:misc_RNA from 1 species